rnacentral:sRNA from 1 species
CUCACUAGGACCGAGUCACCAUCAGAGAGGCUCACCACGAGCCCAGGGACCCUGCCCUGCGAGUUCAACGACACGGAGCUAAGCUCCGGCGAGCAUUUUCUUUCUUUUCGUUGAGAUUUUGCUUCGGAAAUCAUUGUGGGUGAGCACACCCAUUUUCCGGCGAACCGUGGACUUUGGGAGCUUUUUCCGGUCACCUCCGACCGAGUUAUGGUUUUUGGAAGGACUUAGAAUCAAGACACCUAAUCCCGGCGUGAAGGCACUUCUGCAGCAGCAUCUCGGAUCCUCUCGAUGUAGGACUCACUCCUUUAUUCAUUAAAUUUUAUCUUAAUUCUUUUUAGUGAUUAGGUUUAGUUGUAUGCUCUGAGCACGUUCCUUAAAUUAUUAAUUCAUAGUAUUUAAAUUUCAUAACCCUUAUUUAUUUCUUAUUCUCAGCUUUUGUAUCAAUUAAUGGCUUUCGUCACCCUCGGGUGUCGGCCAGCACGUGUCUAUCCUGGUAUUCAGGAA